rnacentral:rRNA from 1 species
CCUACGGGCCGCACCAGUAGGGAAUCUUCGGCAAUGACGAAAGUCUGACCGAGCAACGCCGCGUGAGUGAAGAAGGUUUUCGGAUCGUAAAACUCUGUUGUUAGAGAAGAACAAGUAGGAGAGUAACUGCUCUUACCUUGACGGUAUCUAACCAGAAAGCCACGGCUAACUACGUGCCAGCAGCCGAGGUAAUACGUAGGUGGCAAGCGUUGUCCGGAUUUAUUGGGCGUAAAGCGAGCGCAGGCGGUCUUUUAAGUCUGAUGUGAAAGCCCUCGGCUCAACCGAGGAAGGUCAUUGGAAACUGGAGGACUCGAGUGCAGAAGAGGAGAGUGGAGUUCCAUGUGUAGCGGUGAAAUGCGUAGAUAUAUGGAGGAACACCAGUGGCGAAGGCGACUCUCAGGUCUGUAACUGACGCUGAGGCUCGAAAGCGUGGGGAGCAAACAGGAUUAGAUACCCCCGUAGUC